rnacentral:rRNA from 1 species
GACGAACGCUGGCGGCGUGCUUAACACAUGCAAGUCGAACGGAAAGGCCCCCUUGUGGGGUACUCGAGUGGCGAACGGGUGAGUAACACGUGAGUAACCUACCCUUGACUUUGGGAUAACUUCAGGAAACUGGGGCUAAUACCGGAUAGGAGCUCCUGCUGCAUGGUGGGGGUUGGAAAGUUUCGGCGGUUGGGGAUGGACUCGCGGCUUAUCAGCUUGUUGGUGGGGUAGUGGCUCACCAAGGCUUUGACGGGUAGCCGGCCUGAGAGGGUGACCGGCCAGAUGGGGAAAGAGAAAGGGCCGAGACCCAGGGGGGAGGAGGAGGGGGGAAUAUUGGAAAAAGGGGGGAAGGCUGAAGGCAGAAAGGCGGGGGGGGGGAGGAGGGCCUUGGGGUGGAAACCCGUUUGCGCGGGGGAAAAAGGGGGAGGAGGGUAAAGGGGUAAAAAGAAAGGGGAAAGCUAGGUA